UAAAMACGGAUAUCUCGGCUCACGCAUCGAUGAAGAACGUAGCAAAAUGCGAUACUUGGUGUGAAUUGCAGAAUCCCGUGAACCAUCGAGUUUUUGAACGCAAGUUGCGCCCAAAGCCUUUUGGCCGAGGGCACGUCUGCCUGGGCGUCACAC
rnacentral:rRNA from 1 species